AAAGAUAGUUUUGAAGAAAAAGAACUGAAUGUAUUACUUUCAAAGGAUUCUUGGAAUGUUAUAACAAAAUAGAGUAACUUCAUCAUAUCUAUAUAGUCUGCAAACGAGUACCGACAGCUAAAAGGUUAUUACAGUUAAGCAUCGCAUAAAACAUUUUGAGUUGAGCAUCGCAUUAAAAUGUGUGGCGAGUCUCAAAAUCGCUCGAAUGCCGCUGCCGUUUCAAGCAUCACGAGAAGAUACGAUAUGUAACGUAGAAUUCGACGGGGGAACGAUACCCUCGGAAGAAAUAAGCGCGACAUAAGGUACCGGAAGGGCGAUCGUACUCUGGCAAAAGCCGCGGUCGCUUAGCGCGGCCGCUUUGGGAGAAAGCAUCAUAAAUAACGCCCGAACUUCGGAUCUACUCUCGUUCCCACCGCCCUCGCCACCCCGUCUCCCAUCCCGCAGUUCUUCUCUUCGUUUUUCUCUUUUUCUCGUCUCGCCUGUGUUUCAGUUCACGGAUAUCACCGCGGCUCCUCAUCCCGCGGUGUUUCGGCUGCGCGCGCGCGCGCGCGCUCGCAUUUCGAUCUCUCCCGGCAGGGCUUCGCGAAAUAUGAGUAAAAACUACGAAUAAGAGGGUUGCCGCUGUGUUACAUCCAUAAAUAACGGGACACGUGACAACCGAGCCGAGUGGCUGUCGCCGAGAUACUCGUGUAUUACUGUAUUUUCUGGAUUCGCGCGGCGUGGUGUUUUCACACGCACCGGUGGAAUAAAAGGCGGCCUCGCGUUGAGCCUUGUCGCGGUUUUCCACACACACACAUACACACACACACGGUAGAUACCGCCAAAAAUAUCAGUCUUAUAUUUUUUCGCAACUUGCGACCGCGCGAAUAUAUAUUGUUAUUUACGAACCAGUCGUGUAUCGCGCGAAUAUUAAUAAACAAAUGAUCCGUAUACGAUUUAUUCGCGAUACUUUUAGCAGGAUAGAAAGCGAAAAACCGUAAUAAUUGGCAGUAACGAUAAAAUAUUACAGAUCGUAUAAUGUAACCCAGCGUGUAAUUUUUUGUAUGAUAUUCAUGGGGCAUGACGGUGCUGAAACGAGUAAUGGGAAGUAACAACUGCAAAUGUCAUCAACUUAUGUAUUUUUAUCGAUAUCAUGAUUUGUAAUGGCCACGGAUAAUAACGCUGAUGCGCGCGUUUUAAUACGUAUAAACGGCGAAUUUCUCUCGACUCCCUAUGGAAUCUCAUUUGCAAAACGAUACCCGCACGUACUAUGCGUUUCGGCAUCAAACGAGAACGGGGGCACGAAUCUCGCGGAAGUCGCGAGUUUCGAAUACGCGUAACAUGCAACAUGCCAGACUCUCCCGCUAUGCAGCGAAAUAAUACAUGCGGUCGCUAAUACAUAGACGUGCCUUUGCCUUCGCCUUCGUGUCGAGGGGUAGGUUGCCGCUGACUCGCGGAGAGAAGGGGAGGAGGGUGCAACGCGCACCAGUAUGCAUCCUGUCUCUGCGCCUGAGUGCAUACUGCAAUAUUUACCCUCCACAGAGCGGCAGCGCGGCUCUCCUUACUUCCAAAGUGAAACAUAACCAGUAUCGCGAGCGGUGAAAUACUGGCGAGACUCCUUCGACCGUCCAACGUCACUCUGGAUAUAUCCAAGAUAUAAUAUCCAACGCAAAAAUAUAAAAUUGCAAAAGAAAGAAAUGGAUAUUGCAUCUUGAAUAUUACGAUUAAUAAUCUUGAUCGAGAAACGCCAAGACUUGAUAGCUAAUUAUAUAAACAGCAAAGACGCAUUGUUAUUAAUAUCACUUUUCUUUAGCAAUUUCAAGUAUCGAUCGAAUCAUAAGCGUAAUUUCGCACUUUUUUGCAGUUAUACUCUAAAUAUCGAUCUAUCCAACUGAUUGCGUUAUUGCUCGACCGCGAUGCUGCGACCAGAAAGUGAACAAAGAGAAAGGAGAUUGGUAGAAAGAACUUUGCGGUGGACGGGUGAUUAGUCUCGUCAGUUCGCUCGCGGUAGAUCGUCGCUGGAUAAAGCGCCUUCGAGUAGAGUACGAGCCGACCGAUGGCGAAUGCCUUGCAUGUGUUGUAUCGCAUGGCGGAUAACUAGCGUCGAUGUAAGACAAUGCCGUGAUUAUCUAUCGCGCACGCCAUGUACGGGGCGAGUAUAUACCGUAACCACCGGAGAGUAUCUGCGGCUUGUCGACACGGCUUUGGCCGCC
rnacentral:lncRNA from 1 species